UGAGACCUCCUGUUACCUUUAAAGAUGGAAAUCAGUCCAUCGAGAAGAGAAGAGUCCAGCAGCAGCAGAGAGCAGACUCCCCUGGUUCCAGCUGUGUCUCUAUGAAGAGUGGCUGGUCUAUGGAUCCUCCUGCUAAGUUUAAAGAUGGAAAUCAGUAUAUUGAGAAGAGACACCAGGAGAGGUCAAAGGUCACCAGUGCUCAGUCUGUACAGCAGCCUCAAACAGAGCUGGAGAUGAACCAGGAGGAACUGGCUGACACACUGGGGGGCGGUAAGAGACUCUUACUUUGAAGACAGAGGAGACUAUUAUUUUGAAGGGCAAAAGAGAUCUUAUUUUGAAAAAAGAGAAGAAAUUAUAUUUUUAAGUAGCAGUAUCUUUCCUCUGUGGGUUAAAUGGUGUAGGGUUAUUGUGGGGGUAUCAGGUAAAUGGUUUCGUCCAUAUAUGUAGAGUUAUGGUGGGGGUAUCAGGUUAAAGGGUUUGAUCCAGAUAUGUAGGGUUAUUGUGUGGGUAUUAGGUUAAGUGGUUUGAUCCAGAUAUGUAGGGUUAUUGUUAUUGUUGGGUAUCGUUUGGGUUCUAUCAGAUACCGGUGCCAACUCUGUACUUUUCAAACGGUUCCGGUGCUAAAACGGUUCUCGAAUCGGUACUUAAAAAAUCGAAACCGCACACGCUUGCAUACAUGCACGACUUGUUAUGAGUUUCACAUUAAGCAGAAAGUCAGCGGACACUGAGUUGAAUGGCAACGGUGUUUGCUAGCCUACUUGAUAUGCAAGAUUUAUGGUUGGCAUUAAAUUACUCGACUUACCCCAAGAGGAAAGGCUGAUGUGAGU